CAGGAACUGAAGUCAGUAGGACCGUUGUCAGAGUGAUUUUGAUUAUUGUUGAGUUUGCAGUGUUUGCUGCUCCUACUGUGAUUCUUCUUCAGAUCAUCUGUUCACGAAGAGCUGGGAGGAAGGACUCACAGCACUCAGAGGAAAUAAUGAUUAAUACAAUAUAUGGAAAAAAUUUGCUCUACAAAUAACAGGCCAGAAUACUGCAAGAUUUAUCUUCAUGUCAGUGAUAUUAUGGAUAUGGAGACAACUUUUACUGUUAUUUGCUCUAUAUACUAUACUGAAUGCUUUAAAUAUAAUAUUAAAUACAGAGACAGAAGUACUUUUAGUGACCAUGAAUGGUAAUAACAGAAAUCAUAACAUAAAUACAUAGCAGUUUUCUAAUCUUGAUUCCUUUAUUGUUAUAUUUAACCUUUUAUAGAAGGCUUUUUCAAUCAUAUAAUAGUCAAUUUUAACUGAUGAUGCAACCUGUCUGAUAAUUAUCACAUAUUUACUGAUGUAUUUUGAUGUUUUUUAUUUUUUUAUAACGUAUGACUUAUAUUAUUUUACAUAUGAAAAUAUAUGAAUUAUUGUC